UUUGCUUUUUUAUUUGUUUUAUUUUUAAUAUUUACAUUUACUGCUAACUUCGUUAGGCUUAAUGUGUUUUAAUUCUUUAUAGAUAGUGCUUACGGUAGAUAUCUAGUUUAAAUCAAAAUUACAAAGCUCCGACAGCGUAGUAGUACUAAUUUUCAUUGCUUUACUUUGUUAAAUUAAUGGAUUAUUUAGUGAAAUUAAUUGCUUUUAUACCCCCCUCCCUGGGGAUAUAAAAUAACUUUGACUCGUUAUCAAUGCAAGCUUAUAGGAUCGAUUUUGUUGAUUAUAGUUCUAAGUAUAAUAGGAGGGAAGUUUGCAACCCUAGGAUGGGUGAUUCGCCUGAUAAGGGGGAUUCGCCUGAGUUAACCACUUAUUAUGAAAAUGUUAUAUUUAGGUGUCUUGACCAAAUUACGUGCCAGCAGUCGCGGCAAUACGUAGAAGACUAGUGUUGUUCAUCUUAAACAGGUUUAUUGGGUACCUAGACGGUGACUAUAGUCCACAACGGGAUACGUUUUCACUAGAGUUAGAUAUGAAAAGGUGAGAAUUUAAGGUGGAGAGUUGCAAUUUUAUGAUACUUUAAGGACUGAUAGCGGCGAAAGCAAUCUUUUAUCUAAUAACUGACGUUGAGGGACGAAGGCUUGGGGAGCGAAUAGGAUUAGAGACCCUAGUAGUCCAAGCAGACAAUUAUGAAUGCCAUAGGUUAGAUGUCUUUAAUCUAUAAAUGAAAGUGGAAGCAUUUCAUCUCAAGAGUAAUGCGGCAACGCUGGAACUGAAAUCAUUAGACCGUGUUUGAGACCAGUAGUGAAGUAUGUUUUUUAAUUCGAUAACCCACGAAAAACCUUACCACAAUUUGAAUAUUACCUUUGCCCAGCCCUUUAUACAUAUAUAUACAGCUUUUAGGGCUAAUUUUUAUAGUAUUUAAGAUAGGGAUUGGUAGUAGGUAUUACAAGSGUUGCACGGCUGUCUUCAGUUAAUAUCGUGAGAUCCUGGUUAAGUCCUCUUAAUUAACGGAAGCCCUUGCUUUAUUUGUAUAUAUCACAGUUAUAUAAAAUAAAGCAGUUCAACUU
rnacentral:rRNA from 1 species